rnacentral:rRNA from 1 species
AUGGAGACUAUGGCCACCACCGAGAAACCCCCGGACCUGUCAAGACGUGCACACGGAGACCCAAGUCAGGAAACUACCGAUGGCCCUCCAAGUUCAACAAUCGUCGACAUCGGAGUACCACUACUUCAACGUGUGUACAACUACGCAGAUUCGCUGAGUACCCCUUCGGAUUCGUCAACUUUGACUACCCCGCAAGACCCGGAGCGCCAAGACUGCCUCCGUGGAUUUGUUCAAGUACCCCGACGACCCUAG